rnacentral:lncRNA from 1 species
AAAUGGGGUCUAUUCAUCAUUCAAAACGCCAAUCUUGAAGGAGCAGAGGAAUUUCUUGAACUGUCAUGCUCGCUAGGCGAAGCCCACGUGUUUUAAAAAUAAAAGAAAAAAAAACGAAAUAAAUAAAUAAAUAAAUAAAAGAAAAAUCUUGGACUUGGACCUCUCUCAUUUGAGCCCACAGGUCCACAAAAAUCAGGUUAUAAAUUCAGAGUUUCAGUGAAACAAAAGGGCAUUCUAUUCCUAUUACCCUGGCUGGAAAAAGAUAGUGAGAGAAGAGCUAACAAAGUUCAAAGCAACCUCCAGAGACUGAAGGGAACUCAUCUGCAAAGAACCAACUCCCUCUCAUAUAAACCCUCAGAUUGGUUUGCAAACCCAACCGGGCAAUUCAAUUUCAUUCGAU